ACCACUGCGCCACCCAGGGAUCCCCAGGCCUGGUGUUCUUGCUUCUGAAAUGUAAUUACAUAACUGCAUCAAGAAAAUAAGAAUCAUCAUGUAAAAAAUACGAAAGCUAAGCUAAAGGGGAAUACUGGAAAAUUUUACGGUAGGACAUAAAGGCUAUUUGGAUUGUUAUGUGUAAAACAGGUCAACAAAAAACUGUUCAACAUAAUAUCUAUUUCCCCAGGAAUUGUCUCAGCAUUUAUGGGAAAGAAUGAGCUCCUACUCUAGCAAUUCAUGAACUAUGAACACCCAAUGAUUUUAUGAUGUCACACCUCAGAGGAUCACCCAUUCUCCCCAGUGUGCUUCUUGUUCUCCCUGAAGAAGGACUGCCCUCAAGAGAACUAUCUGCUCAUGAAUUUCAGAUUCCUCACUGCAAGCAAGCAAGCUCUAAGAAACAUAAUUAAGGAGUGUUGGUGUCAUAUCGAAGAAAUAUAUCCACAAUCACCUGAAAAGGUUGUUAAAAUGCCCCUCUCUUCCAACUACAUGACUUCAUGAGGCAAACUUUUCUUCAUUUUCUUCAAGGAAAACUACAUAUCACAGUAGAUUGAGUGAAGAACCAGAUAUAUAAAUCCAGUUAUUAUUUAAUCAGUCAGCUCCCAAACUGCUACUUCAUGGUUUUUACCCCUGCACCAGCUAGGAGACGAUGAGCAUGACAAGACUGGAAUUCUCUUGUUGACAAUAGUGAAAUCACAAGAAAUGGGUCUGGAUCCUGGAAGAACCCCUUAGAAGAGAUCCAUCCACUGGGCGGAAACAACUGUUUAGGACUUCAUGUGAAUAAGAAAUAAACUUCAAAUAGUAAAUUCACCGAGAUCUUGGGGUUCAUCGUUGAAGAUAUAAGCAGUACCUUCACUAAAAGUUCCAUGGGCUUCUUUUCCCACUUCCGUGGGCUGAAAUAUAUGUAAAUAUCAGUGAGCCAGCCUCCAACACCCUUAGAAUGACAGCAACUGGGUCCCUCAGACAGAGUCACCUAUAAUUAUGACAUAUAGAGUGAUACACACACCUCCUACUCCUGGACACUUAAUUAAGGAUAGGGACAUCUGGGUGGCUCAGUUGGUUGAUUGCCUGCCUUUGGUUCAGGUCAUGACCUCAGGAUCCUAGGAUCG